rnacentral:rRNA from 1 species
GAUGAACGCUGGCGGCGUGCUUAACACAUGCAAGUCGAACGGAAAGGCCCUGCUUUUGUGGGGUGCUCGAGUGGCGAACGGGUGAGUAACACGUGAGUAACCUGCCCUUGACUUUGGGAUAACUCCUGGAAACUGGGGCUAAUACCGGAUAGGAGCUCCUGCUGCAUGGUGUUGGUUGGAAAGUUUCGGCGGUUGGGGAUGGCCUCGCGGCUUAUCCGCUUGUUGGUGGGGUAGUGGCUUACCAAGGCUUCGACGGGUAGCCGGCCUGAGAGGGUGACCGGCCACAUUGGGACUGAGAUACGGCCCAGACUCCUACGGGAGGCAGCAGUGGGGAAUAUUGCACAAUGGGCGGAAGCCUGAUGCAGCAACGCCGCGUGCGGGAUGACGGCCUUCGGGUUGUAAACCGCUUUCGCCUGUGACGAAGCGUGAGUGACGGUAAUGGGUAAAGAAGCACCGGCUAACUACGUG